AUUGCUAUCUUCUCAUUUUAUCCUCACAUGGCGGAAAACAAAGAGAGACAAAGGAAGCAAGCUCUAUAGAGUUUCUUCUUAUAAGGCAUUUAAAAUGCUAAAGAAUGAACAAAACUGCAGUGUCACAGAACUUCCAUGAAGACAAUAGAAGGAUGAAUAGUAAAGUGUGCUAAUCCCACCUAAAGUUAGUAGGGCCCAAAACCAAGAGAAGCAAUGAUAAUAAAAUAAAGUAACAUGUUUCAAAAGUGAUAAAUCAACCUAAAAAAUAUAACCUAGGUUCAAUUUUCAAAUGUGUAAUUUCAAAGAAUGAGAGAAAAUUGGUAGGAAUUGGUGAGAAUACCUUUGUAGCAGAAAUGCCAAUAACACUUAAGGAUUUAGAAGGAGGUCUAA
rnacentral:lncRNA from 10 species